rnacentral:rRNA from 1 species
AACUGAAGAGUUUGAUCAUGGCUCAGAUUGAACGCUGGCGGCAGGCUUAACACAUGCAAGUCGAGCGGGGGAAGGUAGCUUGCUACUGGACCUAGCGGCGGACGGGUGAGUAAUGCUUAGGAAUCUGCCUAUUAGUGGGGGACAACAUCUCGAAAGGGAUGCUAAUACCGCAUACGUCCUACGGGAGAAAGCAGGGGAUCUUCGGACCUUGCGCUAAUAGAUGAGCCUAAGUCGGAUUAGCUAGUUGGUGGGGUAAAGGCCUACCAAGGCGACGAUCUGUAGCGGGUCUGAGAGGAUGAUCCGCCACACUGGGACUGAGACACGGCCCAGACUCCUACGGGAGGCAGCAGUGGGGAAUAUUGGACAAUGGGGGGAACCCUGAUCCAGCCAUGCCGCGUGUGUGAAGAAGGCCUUAUGGUUGUAAAGCACUUUAAGCGAGGAGGAGGCUACUUUAGUUAAUACCUAGAGAUAGUGGACGUUACUCGCAGAAUAAGCACCGGCUAACUCUGUGCCAGCAGCCGCGGUAAUACAGAGGGUGCGAGCGUUAAUCGGAUUUACUGGGCGUAAAGCGUGCGUAGGCGGCUUAUUAAGUCGGAUGUGAAAUCCCCGAGCUUAACUUGGGAAUUGCAUUCGAUACUGGUGAGCUAGAGUAUGGGAGAGGAUGGUAGAAUUCCAGGUGUAGCGGUGAAAUGCGUAGAGAUCUGGAGGAAUACCGAUGGCGAAGGCAGCCAUCUGGCCUAAUACUGACGCUGAGGUACGAAAGCAUGGGGAGCAAACAGGAUUAGAUACCCUGGUAGUCCAUGCCGUAAACGAUGUCUACUAGCCGUUGGGGCCUUUGAGGCUUUAGUGGCGCAGCUAACGCGAUAAGUAGACCGCCUGGGGAGUACGGUCGCAAGACUAAAACUCAAAUGAAUUGACGGGGGCCCGCACAAGCGGUGGAGCAUGUGGUUUAAUUCGAUGCAACGCGAAGAACCUUACCUGGCCUUGACAUACUAGAAACUUUCCAGAGAUGGAUUGGUGCCUUCGGGAAUCUAGAUACAGGUGCUGCAUGGCUGUCGUCAGCUCGUGUCGUGAGAUGUUGGGUUAAGUCCCGCAACGAGCGCAACCCUUUUCCUUACUUGCCAGCAUUUCGGAUGGGAACUUUAAGGAUACUGCCAGUGACAAACUGGAGGAAGGCGGGGACGACGUCAAGUCAUCAUGGCCCUUACGGCCAGGGCUACACACGUGCUACAAUGGUCGGUACAAAGGGUUGCUACACAGCGAUGUGAUGCUAAUCUCAAAAAGCCGAUCGUAGUCCGGAUUGGAGUCUGCAACUCGACUCCAUGAAGUCGGAAUCGCU